CAGCGAUAUCACGUUAAAACACCACUUCUCGCACGAUCACUGAAGUUAAGCAAUGUUGAGCCUGGUCAGUACCUAGAUGGGUGACCACUUGGGAAUACCAUACGCUGUAAG